GGUAUACCCCAAGGACACGGCCUGUGUCCCCUCACCCCACUGUCCCCAUCCUGACAGACCUGUGCAAGAACUGCCACCACCUGAUCGCGCGCCACGAGUACACCUUCAGCGUGGUGGACGACUACCAGGAAUACACCAUGCUGUGCCUGCUCUGCGGCCGUGCCGAGGAUUCCAUCAGCAUCCUGCCCGACGACCCUCGCCAGAUGACCCCGCUCUUCUGAACCGACUUCCAGCCUGGAUGCAAGGAACGCCCGACACCGGAUGCUCCCGUGUUUCUGGAAGCCCUGUGGCUCUGACCCCGGCUGCAGGGAUGGGGUGCAGCACCACAGCCCGAGCCCCCCGUGUGCUGAAGACAUAAAGGAGACCCCAAAACAGGGUCUCUGUCACCCCAAAACAGGAUCCGAAGGGAUUCCCACCCCAUCCCUGCCUCAGGAGGCCUCUUGUGUGGGGCAAUAAAUGUGACACGUGACAGCUCA